rnacentral:rRNA from 1 species
GACGAACGCUGGCGGCGUGCUUAACACAUGCAAGUCGAACGAAGAGCGACGGAAGCUUGCUUCUAUCAAUCUUAGUGGCGAACGGGUGAGUAACGCGUAAUCAACCUGCCCUUCAGAGGGGGACAACAGUUGGAAACGACUGCUAAUACCGCAUACGAUCUAAUCUCGGCAUCGAGGAUGGAUGAAAGGUGGCCUCUACAUGUAAGCUAUCACUGAAGGAGGGGAUUGCGUCUGAUUAGCUAGUUGGAGGGGUAACGGCCCACCAAGGCGAUGAUCAGUAGCCGGUCUGAGAGGAUGAACGGCCACAUUGGGACUGAGACACGGCCCAGACUCCUACGGGAGGCAGCAGUGGGGAAUCUUCCGCAAUGGACGAAAGUCUGACGGAGCAACGCCGCGUGAGUGAUGACGGCCUUCGGGUUGUAAAGCUCUGUUAAUCGGGACGAAAGGCCUUCUUGCGAAUAGUGAGAAGGAUUGACGGUACCGGAAUAGAAAGCCACGGCUAACUACGG